rnacentral:rRNA from 2 species
UUGACCUCGAAUCAGGCGGGACUACCCGCUGAACUUAAGCAUAUCA